rnacentral:lncRNA from 1 species
AAACUUGACUUUUCAAAAUCCUUUCCUCUUCUGCCCAUCUCUCACUGGUUUGGCCUUCCUGUGAGCGGCCGCCCGACCCUCACAUCUCUGACCGCGGUUGUUGGUCUUUUCUUUUUGUCGUUCUCUUCGGAAAAAUAACUCAAGUCCCUACCACCCCUUUUGUUCUGACUUUCCGUCGACAGAGGUUUAUGGUGACCUGUUUGUUUUCUCGCCAGUGGACCGCCUCUAGUCCACUCGGCUUAUGUUUUGUUUGUUUCAAUAGGUCCUCCAUGCAUGGUGGAUCCCCGCUGACGUUUGGCCUCGAAGGCUUGCGCAUGUAAACAUCGAUCAAGCUGCACCAGACCCUCUCUGUUCGGUUGCUGACGCCCACUCGAAGGUAUAAAAUUGACAUUAUAUAAUUAAGGUUAAAUAAUUAAGUUAUUUAGUAAUGUUAAAGAAAUUUUAUGUUUAAGUUGGUAGAUAUAUUUUAAUUGUUG